UACGUAGGUGGCAAGCGUUGUCCGGAUUUACUGGGCGUAAAGAGCGCGCAGGCGGUCGAUCAAGUCGCGUGUGAAAGCCCCCGGCUCAACUGGGGAGGGUCACGCGAUACUGAUCGACUCGAAGGCAGGAGAGGGUAGUGGAAUUCCCGGUGUAGUGGUGAAAUGCGUAGAUAUCUGGAGGAACACCGGUGGCGAAGGCGACGUCCUGGACCGGCAUUGACGCUGAGGCGCGAAAGCCAGGGGAGCAAACGGG
rnacentral:rRNA from 1 species